rnacentral:tRNA from 1 species
UUAAAAAUAAGCUAAGAAUAAGCUUUUGGGCUCAUACCUCAAAUAUAAAGGAUAACCCUUUUUUUUAAA